CACGGAAUUAGCCGGUCCUUAUUCAUGCGGUACCUGCAAUGAGGGACACGUCCCUCACUUUAUCCCCGCAUAAAAGCAGUUUACAACCCAUAGGGCCGUCAUCCUGCACGCUACUUGGCUGGUUCAGGCUUACGCCCAUUGACCAAUAUUCCUCACUGCUGCCUCCCGUAGGAGUUUGGACCGUGUCUCAGUUCCAAUGUGGGGGACCUUCCUCUCAGAACCCCUACUGAUCGUCGCCUUGGUGGGCCGUUACCCCGCCAACAAGCUAAUCAGACGCAUCCCCCAUCUCUCACCGAUGAAAUCUUUCGUCGUCAUCAGAUGACUUCCGACGACUACAUAAGGUAUUAGUCCGACUUUCGACGGGUUAUCCCUUGGUCAGAGGCAGGUUGGAUACGCGUUACUCACCCGUGCGCCGGUCGACGCCUAAGAGAGCAAGCUCUCUCAUCGUUUCCCCUCGACUUGCAUGUAUUAAGCCUGUAGCUAGCGUUCAUCCUGAGCCAGGAUA
rnacentral:rRNA from 1 species